GACGUAGGGCGCGAGCGUUGUCCGGAUUUAUUGGGCGUAAAGAGCUCGUAGGCGGCUUGUCGCGUCGUCCGUGAAAACCUGGGGCUCAAGCCCAGGCUUGCGGUCGAUACGGGCAGGCUCGAGUUCGGUAGGGGAGACUGGAAUUCCUGGUGUAGCGGUGAAAUGCGCAGAUAUUAGGAGGAACACCGGUGGCGAAGGCGGGUCUCUGGGCCGAUACUGACGCUGAGGAGCGAUAGCGUGGGGAGUGAACAGG
rnacentral:rRNA from 1 species